UACUUUCGUUCGGACCUCCGAUCAAGCAAGAGGACCCGCUGAAUUUAAGCAUAUAACUAAGCGGAGGAAAAGAAACUAACCAGGAUUCCCCCAGUAACGGCGAGUGAAGCGGGAAGAGCUCACGUUGUAAAUCUGACUUCGGUCCGAAUUGUAGUCUGGAGAGGCGAGACCAGCCGGCGGCGGGGGCGAAGUCUCUUGGAAAAGAGCAUCAAGGAGGGUGACAAUCCCGUUCUUGCCCCCAUCUCGUCGCGCGUACGGUCCGUUUUCUACGAGUCGAGUUGCUUGGGAUUGCAGCUCAAAGCGGGUGGUAAAUUCCAUCUAAAGCUAAACACGGGUGGGAGACCGAUAGCGAACAAGUACCGUGAGGGAAAGAUGCAAAGAACUUUGAAAAGAGAGUUAAAGAGUGCGUGAAAUUGCUGAAAGGGAAGCGAAGGAAACCAGUGUCUGGCGUUUUCGCUUACCUUUUGCCCCUCGGGGCAUUGGAUUGCGUUUAUGUCGUGGCCAGGGCCGGGUAGAGUUGCGGGAGCCUGCGCCUCGGAAGGUAGCUCGUCCUCGGACGGUGAAUACCGUGGUGUGUCGUCGCGAUUCUGGCCGGUUCUGACGAAAUGGUUUUCUUCACCCCGUCU
rnacentral:rRNA from 1 species